GAGAGCCAAAUGAAUCGAAAUAUUCAUGUUUGGUUCGGAAAGGGAUCAUGGAAGUUUUGCAAUGAAUGGAAAGAUAAUCUAUUUUCAU
rnacentral:ncRNA from 1 species